rnacentral:rRNA from 1 species
AUUGAACGCUGGCGGCGUGCCUAACACAUGCAAGUCGAACGUGAAAGUCCUUCGGGAUGAGUAAAGUGGCGCACGGGUGAGUAACACGUAGGUGACCUGCCUUUUAGAGGGGAAUAACCAGAAGAAAUUUUGGCUAAUGCCGCAUACGAAGUACAAAUCUAAAAGUAGUACUUGAAAGAAUGCCUCUGUAUAUGCAUUCGCUAAAAGAUGGGCCUGCGGUACAUUAGCUAGUUGGUGGGGUAAUGGCCUACCAAGGCGACGAUGUAUAUCCGGUCUGGGAGGAUGAUCGGACACACUGGAACUGAGACACGGUCCAGACUCCUACGGGAGGCAGCAGUGGGGAAUAUUGCGCAAUGGGGGAAACCCUGACGCAGCAACGCCGCGUGAGUGAGGAAGGACUUCGGUCUGUAAAGCUCUGUUAAUGUGGAAAAAUGGUAGUUGGUCUAAUAGGCCGAUUAUUUGAUGGUACACAUAGAGGAAGCACCGGCUAACUUCGUGCCAGCCGCCGCGGUAACAC